rnacentral:rRNA from 1 species
CUACGGGAGGCACCAGUGAGGAAUAUUGCACAAUGGGGGGAACCCUGAUGCAGCAACGCCGCGUGGAGGAUGACGCAUUUCGGUGUGUAAACUCCUUUUAUAUGUCAAGAAAAUGACGGUAGCAUAUGAAUAAGCACCGGCUAACUCCGUGCCAGCAGCCGCGGUAAUACGGAGGGUGCAAGCGUUACUCGGAAUCACUGGGCGUAAAGGACGCGUAGGCGGGUUGGAAAGUCAGGUGUGAAAUCCUACAGCUUAACUGUAGAACUGCACUUGAAACUUCUAAUCUAGAGUAUGGGAGGGGGAGAUGGAAUUAGUGGUGUAGGGGUAAAAUCCGUAGAUAUCACUAGGAAUACCUAAAGCGAAGGCGAUCUCCUGGAACAUUACUGACGCUAUGGCGUGAAAGCGUGGGGAGCAAACAGGAUUAGAUACCCCAGUAGUC